CUGAUGGCUGCACUCAACAUUCAUUGCUGUCGGUGGGUUGCGGUCUGAAUCAACUCAUUGAUCAAUGAAUGCCAACUGCGGACCAAACA
ensembl:miRNA